UUAAAUUGAAGAGUUUGAUCAUGGCUCAGAUUGAACGCUGGCGGCAGGCCUAACACAUGCAAGUCGAACGGUAACAGGAAGCAGCUUGCUGCUUCGCUGACGAGUGGCGGACGGGUGAGUAAUGUCUGGGAAACUGCCUGAUGGAGGGGGAUAACUACUGGAAACGGUAGCUAAUACCGCAUAAUGUCGCAGGACCAAAGAGGGGGACCUUCGGGCCUCUUGCCAUCAGAUGUGCCCAGAUGGGAUUAGCUUGUUGGUGAGGUAACGGCUCACCAAGGCGACGAUCCCUAGCUGGUCUGAGAGGAUGACCAGCCACACUGGAACUGAGACACGGUCCAGACUCCUACGGGAGGCAGCAGUGGGGAAUAUUGCACAAUGGGCGCAAGCCUGAUGCAGCCAUGCCGCGUGUAUGAAGAAGGCCUUCGGGUUGUAAAGUACUUUCAGCGGGGAGGAAGGGGAUAAGGCUAAUAACCUUGUUCAUUGACGUUACCCGCAGAAGAAGCACCGGCUAACUCCGUGCCAGCAGCCGCGGUAAUACGGAGGGUGCAAGCGUUAAUCGGAAUUACUGGGCGUAAAGCGCACGCAGGCGGUCUGUCAAGUCGGAUGUGAAAUCCCCGGGCUCAACCUGGGAACUGCAUUCGAAACUGGCAGGCUUGAGUCUUGUAGAGGGGGGUAGAAUUCCAGGUGUAGCGGUGAAAUGCGUAGAGAUCUGGAGGAAUACCGGUGGCGAAGGCGGCCCCCUGGACAAAGACUGACGCUCAGGUGCGAAAGCGUGGGGAGCAAACAGGAUUAGAUACCCUGGUAGUCCACGCCGUAAACGAUGUCUACUUGGAGGUUGUGCCCUUGAGGCGUGGCUUCCGGAGCUAACGCGUUAAGUAGACCGCCUGGGGAGUACGGCCGCAAGGUUAAAACUCAAAUGAAUUGACGGGGGCCCGCACAAGCGGUGGAGCAUGUGGUUUAAUUCGAUGCAACGCGAAGAACCUUACCUGGUCUUGACAUCCACAGAACCCUGUAGAGAUACGGGGGUGCCUUCGGGAGCUGUGAGACAGGUGCUGCAUGGCUGUCGUCAGCUCGUGUUGUGAAAUGUUGGGUUAAGUCCCGCAACGAGCGCAACCCUUAUCCUUUGUUGCCAGCGGUCCGGCCGGGAACUCAAAGGAGACUGCCAGUGAUAAACUGGAGGAAGGUGGGGAUGACGUCAAGUCAUCAUGGCCCUUACGACCAGGGCUACACACGUGCUACAAUGGCGCAUACAAAGAGAAGCGACCUCGCGAGAGCAAGCGGACCUCAUAAAGUGCGUCGUAGUCCGGACUGGAGUCUGCAACUCGACUCCAUGAAGUCGGAAUCGCUAGUAAUCGUGGAUCAGAAUGCCACGGUGAAUACGUUCCCGGGCCUUGUACACACCGCCCGUCACACCAUGGGAGUGGGUUGCAAAAGAAGUAGGUAGCUUAACCUUCGGGAGGGCGCUUACCACUUUGUGAUUCAUGACUGGGGUGAAGUCGUAACAAGGUAACCGUAGGGGAACCUGCGGUUGGAUCACCUCCUUACCUGAAAGAA
rnacentral:rRNA from 2 species